CCUACGGGUGGCAGCAGUGGGGAAUAUUGGACAAUGGGGGCAACCCUGAUCCAGCCAUGCCGCGUGUGUGAAGAAGGCCCUCGGGUUGUAAAGCACUUUCAGUGAGGAAGAACGCCUGGUGGUUAAUACCCAUCAGGAAAGACAUCACUCACAGAAGAAGCACCGGCUAACUCCGUGCCAGCAGCCGCGGUAAUACGGAGGGUGCGAGCGUUAAUCGGAAUUACUGGGCGUAAAGCGCGCGUAGGUGGCUUGAUAAGCCGGUUGUGAAAGCCCCGGGCUCAACCUGGGAACGGCAUCCGGAACUGUCAAGCUAGAGUGCAGGAGAGGAAGGUAGAAUUCCCGGUGUAGCGGUGAGAUGCGUAGAGAUCGGGAGGAAUACCAGUGGCGAAGGCGGCCUUCUGGACUGACACUGACACUGAGGUGCGAAAGCGUGGGUAGCAAACAGGAUUAGAUACCCGAGUAGUC
rnacentral:rRNA from 1 species